rnacentral:rRNA from 1 species
UAAGGAAUAUUCCACAAUGGGCGAGAGCCUGAUGGAGCGACGCCGCGUGAGCGAAGAAGCACUUCGGUGUGUAAAGCUCUUUUCUCGGGGAUGAAACGGACAGUACCCGAGGAAUAAGCCCCGGCUAACUACGUGCCAGCAGCCGCGGUAAUACGUAGGGGGCAAGCGUUGUCCGGAUUUACUGGGCGUAAAGCGCGUGUAGGCGGUUGAGUAAGUCUGCUGUGAAAUCUCCGGGCUUAACCUGGAGGGGUCGGUGGAAACUGCUCGACUUGAGGACGGUAGAGGGGGGUGGAAUUCCCGGUGUAGUGGUGAAAUGCGUAGAGAUCGGGAGGAACACCAGCGGCGAAGGCGGCCCCCUGGGCCGCUCCUGACGCUGAUACGCGAAGGCCAGGGUAGCGAACGG